rnacentral:tRNA from 1 species
GGGGGUGUAGCUCAGUGGUAGAGUGCAUGCUUUGCAUGCAUGAGGUCUUGGGUUCAAUCCUCAGCAUCUCCA